UGGCUGCAGCAAGUUGUGAUGAGAAUCAAUGGCAAGCAGUGACACCAAGAAAAAAAAAUCCCAUUAUAAACAUUUUUUCCCCUCAAUCUUCUUCUCAUAGUAUAUCAUUAGGCUAACUGGUGUUGAAGGAUAUAAAUCCACAACUGCCAUUGAUUCUCAUCACAACAUGGUCCAGU
rnacentral:pre_miRNA from 1 species